rnacentral:rRNA from 1 species
UACGUAGGGUGCAAGCGUUAUCCGGAAUUAUUGGGCGUAAAGAGCUCGUAGGCGGUCUGUCGCGUCUGCUGUGAAAACUGGGGGCUCAACCCCCAGCCUGCAGUGGGUACGGGCAGACUAGAGUGUGGUAGGGGAGACUGGAAUUCCUGGUGUAGCGGUGGAAUGCGCAGAUAUCAGGAGGAACACCGAUGGCGAAGGCAGGUCUCUGGGCCACUACUGACGCUGAGAAGCGAAAGCAUGGGGAGCGAACAGG